UGGGGAAUAUUGCACAAUGGAGGGAACUCUGAUGCAGCGACGCCGCGUGAGUGAUGAAGGAAUUCGUUUCGUAAAACUCUGUUCUAUGGGAAGAAAAGGACUGUACCAUAGGAGAAAGCUCCGGCUAAAUACGUGCCAGCAGCCGCGGUAAUACGUAUGGAGCGAGCGUUGUCCGGAAUUAUUGGGCGUAAAGGGUGCGCAGGCGGCUUUACAAGUUGGAUGUGAAAUAUUGUGGCUCAACCACAAACGUGCAUCCAAAACUGCAAAGCUUGAGUUAAGGAGAGGGAAGUGGAAUUCCUGGUAUAGCGGUGAAAUGCGUAGAUAUCGGGAGGAAUACCGGUGGCGAAGGCGACUUACUGGACUUAAACUGACGCUCAGACACGAAAGCGUGGGGAGCAAACAGG
rnacentral:rRNA from 1 species